AUGAACGACCAUUAUUGUGGACACAAACAGAGCAGUCCUCUGUUAUAUCAUAUUGUGAUAGUGUCGAGUGUAUUAUGACAAUAUUGAAUUAAACUAUGUUGACAAUCAUUAAUAUCACUAACAACGACAUGCCAAUCAUUAGUAAUUGUAUAGUCUAAGAAUGAGAAUGUGAUUAUAUUGUUUCUAACAAUAAGUUCCUAUAUUCUUUAUCAAUUAUAUUUAUAUGGGCAUCAUCUAUUGUAUUUCUUAUUGAAGCUAAUUCAUUAGCGUUUCUGAUUUUAAAAGAACGAAUAGGAAAUCCAAUUUCAAGUUUGUCGGAUUGUUUAUUAAUCAUUUAUUUUAUGGUAUCGAAUUGUUUAAGAUAAGAAAAUCAUUGAUAGCACUAACAUUACUUAGAGCUUUGUCUCUAUAUUGUUAAAUAAUUUAUUAAUGUGCAUAAUAGUAGAAUGUAAUGACAAAUAAUUAUAUUAAUUCUAAUCCAAUACAAAAAUAAUUCACUCUAGAAUUAAGUUUUAUUUUUAUCAUAAUAUACAAAAAUAAAAGUAGAAGAAAAUAAAUAUUAUAAAAGCAUAGAACUCUACAUAAUUUUUCUGCGCUUUUCCAGUAGUAAAGUAAAUGUAUUUAUUACAUUAUUAAAGUUAAUUUUUUGUUCUAUAAUGAUCUCAAUACUCAAUAUAUCCAAAUUUGAUACGUUCUUGCUCAAAGUCAUUUUUGUCUCCAAACUGUUCACACGAUUCAUUUGCUCUACAUUUUAUUUUUAAAAAAUGUUCCUCAUUUCUGAAAGAUGGAAUAUCUGAAAAACAUGUUGAAACCAUAUCAUGUGCAGUUAUUAAAUCAAUUUUAGAAUUUUGUAAAUAAUUGUGCUUCUGAAAUAAUUUUUAAUUUUAUAUUGAGAAGUUCUCUAUCAGCAAUUCAUUGUAAUGAGUUAACAAUUUCUGGCAAGUUUAUGUACACCGAGUCUAUAACUCUAUUGUUAAAUCAUUGUUAAACGGAUUUACCAUUUCAAAAUAUCAGAAUUUAUAUGCUAUAAAAUAUUCACAGUAUAUUCAUUUAUAUAAUCUGUGGUAAAUGUAACAUAGAUAAUGCUAAUGUUAGCAUUCUUUAGCCUGUGCAAUGUAUUGACUUUAAUAAUAUGUUCAUUAUUUCAACAAAUUCUAUAUUUAGCUAUGAAAUACUAUCUUCUCGUUACCAUUGUUAAUUUGCACUUUUUCUACAUGGAGAAAUAAAUCUGUAUUGUAGCUGAACUGUUAAUUUUUUUUUCAUUUAAAUUAAUUUAUUAAUAAAAUAACAAAUUCAAAAUUAUUUGUUAUCUUUAACCAAAAAAUCCUGAAACAGCGGUGACUCUAAUCAAGUAAAAAAUGAUUAAAAACUAUAUUACAUCAUCUAUAUGCAACUGGAAAUUUGAUUUAGGUGAUUUAGAGUCUGGUCCAAAAAGAUUCAUAUUAGAGUCUAUUAUUAAUAGCUAAUGAAUUAUAUUUAGCUAAUUCCAUUAACAAAACCAUGGCUCCAAUCCUUCAUUUUAUUAUGUGGAUCUAGAGGUCUCAAAAAUGGAAAACUAACAAAGCUUGUUCUAGUACAAAAACUCAUAAAUAAUUGUUAAAAAACUGACACUGUUCAUAUCCAGUUAAUAAUUCAAUCUAAACUAGAAGUUGAUGCUUAUAGGGAAUAUAUGAAAAGUCUAAUUAACAUAACAAUUUAUUGAGUAUCCAAAGAAUGGCCCGUCACAAUAAAAAUAAUUCAUCAUUAAAUCAAUGUAGGGAACUAAUUUAAGUAAUCUAAUCACCUAAUAAUAAGUAAUUAAAACUGAGAAGAUAUAAUUAUUAAUUUUUUAAUAAAUAACUUUUCUUGGGAAAUUUCAACGAAACUUGUGUUUUAUUUUCCAAGCAUAUACCUAAGUUUUCUGAAAUAUUCAACAAAGAAACAAAUCACAUUAGUCAUCAUAUUCAAAAUUAAAUAAUUGAAAUAUGUGCAAAUAGAAUAAGAGAUUCAAUUAUAGAAGACAGUAAUACACAGACUUAGUAUAAUGUUUGAUGAAGCAAGAUAUUAUAAAGAAGAACAAAUGUUUUAUAUUAUUUUAAAACUUGUAAAUUAAAUACUAAAACUCAAAUAACUUCACAAUCCUAUAUUUAUGCUAACAUCAUGUCUGGAAAUUUAAUGGAGUCAAUCAAAAAUUAGAAUUAAAUUUUCAAAAGCGAUUUUUACUCAUUGUAUGUUCAUAGAAUAAAUAUUUUUCUUGCAGAUAUGUGAAAAAAUAUUAAAGU